CUCAAGAGACAGGGGAGCCCUCCGGCCAGCGAGCCGGGGAGCUGAGAGUGCGGGCCCAGCAGACCACGCUGGCCGCAGACCCUCAGGACCUGAUCCGGUUAGCACCGGCGAAGGGAGUCGGAGAUGAACCGCG
rnacentral:ncRNA from 1 species